rnacentral:tRNA from 1 species
GUCUCGUUAGCUCAAUUGGCAGAGCAUCAGACUCUUAAUCUGAGGGUUAUAGGUUCGAGGCCUAUACGGGACACCA